UCUCUCUCUCUCUCUCUCUCUCUGUCUCUCUCUCUCUCUCUCUCUCUCUCUCUGGUAGGUAUCAGAAGCUAAAGCCUAGUUAGGUCUCUCUCUCUCUCUCUCUCUCUCUCUCUGUCUCAUCAUACCACAACAUG